GCCGGCGUAGCUCAGCGGUAGAGCAGCGCACUCGUAAUGCGCAGGUCACGAGUUCGAAUCUCGUCGCCGGCUCCA
rnacentral:tRNA from 1 species